CCUGGCGGCACUAGCGCGGUGGUCCCACCUGACCCCAUGCCGAACUCAGAAGUGAAACGCCGUAGCGCCGAUGGUAGUGUGGGGUCUCCCCAUGCGAGAGUAGGGAACUGGCAGGC
rnacentral:rRNA from 2 species